AGCGGUUGGUCAGUACUUGUCACACUGAGUGCAGAGGGCUUGUGGGAGAAGUGAGUGUCCCAUUUGAGGGCAGAAAGCUGGGCAGCUGCUGUAGCAGAGUAAGAGGGGAAGCCUGGAGGGCGAUGGCGAGAUGAGGAAGUAAGGGAAGACACCGGAUGUGAGGCAGGGAGACUUGAGGGUGACAGGUUCUGAGCAGUGCCUACAGCGAGAACUGUGGCUACCUUGUAGGUUGUAGGAGGUCAAGCCGGGAAGUGGGAGGUCAGGGAGGCAACUGGGGCAGAAGUCCAGGUGACAGGUAGUGUGGCCUAGGGUUGUAACAGCAAGGUUAAUGUUGGCCCACACAACGACUUUGUGAGAAUCGGAAGGGGCCCUUUAGCUUAGCAGCACUAAAGACAAGAACACAGCAUGACUUGUUGGUACCAGAGCGGCUGGGUUGAGAGAGGUGCAGGGCGGCUGCUUUCUGAUGAGGCUCCCUGGGAGCCCACUGAGGUUUGCGCUCGCAGCAGCGGGUGUGGCUCUCUCUACCUGAUAACUAAGCAGCAGUUACCAAGUGAUGCUGGCUUCCCGUCUGCUGGCGCCGGAAAUGUGCUGACGCAUGUGACAUAUUAGGCCCAUGUGUUUGCCGUCCUAAUAAACUCUUGUCACCAUGGCUCCCCUACUCUAUGGGUCAGUGCCAUGCACUGAGUGUGGAGAGAGAAAAACAGCCAAGUGGUAACAGCAAACCUUCAAGUAUAAUGGCUUUAAAUAUUAAGGCGGUUUAUGAACUUACGUGACUGACCCUUUUGUGGCAAUUGCCAUUGGUAUCUCAUGGACUCCCCUUGAAAAGCGAGGUUCAAAACUUAACUGGGAACAGUCUGGCCCAGUGCACAGAUCAAAAGACUACUGAAGGACUGGCCCUAUGGAUAAAGUGCCUGCUGUAGAAACAAGAGCACUCCACA